CCGGCCGGGACUGCGCCAGCUUGACCUAACAGUCCAGUGCUGCGCAGACAUAUCGCCAAGCGGACGGUCAGGAUUUGGUGACCUACUUCCGCACAAAAGUUCCCGCCUCUUAAACGAUCUGGAGGAAGUUGCUAAAGAUCUGUGUUCAUUUUGAAACUGUAUCUCAAGCUGUUCUUGCAGCCGAGACGCGCAAAGGAGAGGAAAUAAAACUAGAAACGCAUGGACACCGGACACCAGAGGCAAGCAUGCGGGAUAAAUUAUGCAACUGAAGUGAACGCUGUGGAGCCAUUAACUGACCUCAGACCUGCUUCUGAACUCUGGUGUGACCAUAAUGAGUCUGGAAUCGACUGUCCAGUCGACCAUGGAGCAUGAACUGAGGAUGGGCCUGUCUGUGUGGGCCAUUGCGGCCAUUAUUUGUAACUCUGCGGUGGGCGUGCUCAUCCUCAUCCUCUUCGUCAUCCUCUACAAGGCCUGCAAGGUGCCUUCACACCAAGAAAAAGUGCCCGUUUUCAUAGCAGUGCCAGAGCAGAAGAAGGCCGAACAGAAAUACCUGCUGUCUGCAGCCUGAUCAUGACUUGACAACAGACCGGAGAUGGAGAAAAAAAGUCAACUUUGUCGAUCUACUGGAGGUCCAAAGUUCAGCCGUAGAGGGUUAGAAGACCUGCUGGACUGUGAUCUUUGAGUGAUUAUCUGUGUCUUGCUUCCUCUUCAACCACUCUUGUCAUUAUUUUCACUCAGUACCUCCUUUUGUCUUCCAUACUGUGCACAUUUCUCCGCCAUCAGCCCCAUCUCAUCUCUGAGCUAUUCAGCAGAGCUCAGAGUGAGCUAACUGUGUUAAGAGUUGUGGCAAGACAACAACAACAAGCAGGCCCAAUCCUCUUAUCUCCGUUGUGCGUCGCUGGGACUGUCCAUCUGUCAGUCUGUUUGCUUUUCUCUACACUGGCAGACCAUGAUGUCCGCCUCAUAAUUUUUCAUCCCUCCAUUUGAGACAACUAAGAGGAUGUGGUGGAGAAAGAGCAGCAGCACAACAAACUGGAAUAGGAGAGUUACGAGUGAUGGGGUUGGAUGAGAGUCACGUGUUAGAGGUGAAGAUUAGCUCUGUAGCACACAAGCAGCUCAGUGUUUGCCUGCACUAAUGAUGGCAACAGCAGAGCAGCAAGCAGAUGCCAGGAAGAACCCAAAAGUGUCAGAAAGAAAGGAGAUGCGACUGGAGGAAAAAGUGCUGGAGACAAGGGCAGAGAGGGAGAUAAAGGGCAGAUAUUUGGUGGGGAUGAUAAAGUGCAAGUGAAGAAUCACAGAGAGGAUGCUUUGAUGUGUUGUUUACAGAAAAGGGAGCUCGAGGCACCUGUUUGACAUUCUCCCCCAUUUGACAUAUUUAAAGUCUCUGCUUCCACCGAUCUGACUCCCAUGGGGAUUAAAAAGUGAUACCAGUGCCUCCCUCUCAUUUUAUGAGCUCCUCUGAAUAAGAUAUUUAUAGACAACCUUCAUCAGAAACGACAGACGGACUGAACACUCGCAGUUUCGCAGUAAGGAGUGAAUUCAUUGUAGUUACUGUAGUGAAUGUGCAGCAGCCACUAAUUGUCUAAUAUCAAAAUUGUCUUACUGAUGGAGGAGAGAUGGGAGAACAAAUUUACCUACAAAGUGACAAGCCAAUCAUCAUUUUAUUUUCACAGAAUUAGAAUAAAAAGUGCUGCAUUUUUGUCUCGUAUAGUAGGUGUAUUUUUUACUAAUGAAAGGGCUCUGUAUGGAAAUGUGUUAAUUAGUGAGAAACAUCAGUUGAAAUCUAAUCUCAGGUAUGAAUGAAUUUGCUUUUAUUCCGAUGGAGUGGGAAUACAAUGAUUUUUUUUUCUCCUCUGCGGCUACAACUUAAUGUUCUGCUUCAUUUAUAGGAUAUUUCUAUAAAAAAUACUCAUGGACUGAUGAUCAUAAAAAGUGCUGAAAUUAAUACAAACUUAAUUGUUCAUCUGGGCUCUGGAAAACUUGUGGAGGUCAUGUCUGUGUUUUUAACAUUUCGAUGGAUUAAAUGAUCAAUCAAAUAUAAUAGUUUAAUUGAUCAUGAAUAAUAAUUAUUAAUUGUAGCUCUGCACUGUAUAGAAUAGUUAUUGUUUACCUGUGGUAAUUGCAGUUUUGCUCCAUACCUCUGGUUCAGUUUAUUUUAUACUGAUAUAAUAAAAUGAUUUACUCUUGUUUAUAACUAA